UGCUGGUGGUGAAGCGCUCCCUCUCAGAGCACUGGGUUCUGCCCGGGGUGAGCCCGCGCCCGCCGUCCCGGGGCCCUGCGCGCCUUUGUGCAUUCCACCCAGCGAAGGAGCA
rnacentral:snoRNA from 1 species